UACUAGUUUUAGGAAGUGAAACCCUCGAAAUCACGGGAAACCCGAACCUCCAUUUUUGAGUUACUGUUCAUGCACACGUAAAAUGUCGUGUUUCAGGGAAUUCUAAGCUUGUAGUGAGCUUAGUGAAGUCCUAAGGAGGCUCGGAGUACUUCGUUUGAAGGAUUUGGACGUCGGGAUCACGUGGUUCCAUUUUGGCCGAAUUUCUUGGGAAUUUUCCGGUGAGAUUUCUUGAUUUUUAGAGCCUUAAAUUAGUCUAUCGUGAUUCUACAUGUUUGGGGCUUCAAUUUGAUAUAAAAUACGAAGAAAAUGGGUGAAAAACGAAGGAGAACAAAAGGUUUUAAAAUUGGCCGGAAAACGGUCGCCGGAAAAUCCAGUCCGGCGACCCAAGGAAGAAGAAGGGCGCGUGGGGGGCGCGUAGGCCCGUGCCACGUGCGGCGCGUGGGGGCGCGUGGCACAUCAAAAAAAUAAUCUAAAAAUAUGUCGACGUUCGUGACGUCGAGUAGAUCACUGUGGUAUAUUCAUAUACCCAAAUUGAGCACCGUAUGAGAAAGUUAUUACGAUUAUUGGUUAGGUGCUUUAAAUAACGUUUUAUAGUUUUCGCAUUUAGGUGAAAAUGUGAAUUGACGAUCCGACCGUUGGAUCGUCACCAAACUCUGAUACGUUGUAAUACGUAAUAUUUGAGGAUUAUUGGAACUUACGGAUUGGGAAUCCGAGUUACGGAUCUUCCGGAAUUGGAGUUGUAAGUUCAUAAAAUAAAAUGUUAACCGUCACUUAGUUUUGGAAAUUGACGGAGAUCCGACCGUUGGAUGGUAAUGAAAUUUCAGGAUGUUGUCCUAGAGAUAUAUUGUGGGCCUCUGGAAGUUAUGGAUUUAAAAUCUGAGUUGCAGAUCUUUCGGAUCGAACUGCGUAGUGAUGUGUUUUAUAUAAGUUAUAUUCUAUCGAUAUGAUUUCUGAGGUUGGAUUUGAUUAUUGUUCUAGGCGGCGAUCGUCAUGACGCCUUG
rnacentral:lncRNA from 1 species